UCAAGUGACUAAGUGCAUGCGGCGGAUGCCUUGGCGAUCACAGGCGAAGAAAGACGCGGCAGCCUGCGAAAAGCUGCGGGGAGCUGGCAAACGAGCUUUGAUCCGCAGAUAUCUGAAUGGGGGAACCCACACCGCAAGGUGUAUCCGUAGCUGAAUACAUAGGUUACGGAGGCGAACGAGGAGAACUGAAACAUCUAAGUAUCCUCAGGAAAAGAAAUCAACCGAGAUUCCGGCAGUAGCGGCGAGCGAACCCGGAGGAGCCUAGCUUUUGAUAGUACGAACUUUAGCCGAAAGGUCCUGGAAAGGCCUGCUAUAGUGGGUGAUAGCCCCGUAGGCGAAAAAGUUUGUGCGGUACUAAGGAAGCGAGAAGUAGAGCGGGACACGUGGAAUCCUGUUCGAAGACGGGGGGACCAUCCUCCAAGGCUAAAUACUCGUGAUCGACCGAUAGUGAACCAGUACCGUGAGGGAAAGGCGAAAAGAACCCCGGGAGGGGAGUGAAAUAGAACCUGAAACCGCAUGCAUACAAACAGUAGGAGCCUUUACGGAGGUGACUGCGUACCUUUUGCAUAAUGGGUCAGCGACUUACAUUCUGUGGCGAGCUUAACCGAAUAGGGGAGGCGCAGCGAAAGCGAGUUCGAAAUGAGCGUCCAGUCGCAGGGUGUAGACCCGAAACCAGAUGAGCUAUCCAUGGCCAGGUUGAAGGUGUGGUAACACACACUGGAGGACCGAACCGACUAGUGUUGCAAAAUUAGCGGAUGAGCUGUGGAUAGGGGUGAAAGGCCAAACAAAUCUGGAGAUAGCUGGUUCUCCCCGAAAACUAUUGAGGUAGUGCCUCGUGUGUCGCUCCAGGGGGUAGAGCACUGUUUUGGCUAGGGGGACAUGGAGUCUUACCAAACCAAGGCAAACUCCGAAUACCUGGAAGCGUAAGCACGGGAGACAGAGCACCGGGUGCUAACGUCCGGACUCAAAAGGGAAACAACCCAGACCGCCGGCUAAGGUCCCAAAUAACAGCUAAGUGGAAAACGAAGUGGAAAGGCCGUGACAACCAGGAAGUUGGCUUAGAAGCAGCCAUCCUUCAAAGAAAGCGUAAUAGCUCACUGGUCGAGUCCUUCUGCGCGGAAGAUGUAACGGGGCUAAGCUGUUAACCGAAGCCGCGGAUGCACUGGUUAUCCAGUGCGUGGUAGGGGAGCGUUCUGUAAGUCUGCGAAGGCGGUUCGAGAGGACUGCUGGAGAUAUCAGAAGUGCGAAUGCUGACAUGAGUAACGUUAAAGCAGGUGAAAAGCCUGCUCGCCGUAAGCCCAAGGAUUCCUGCUCUACGUUCAUCGGAGCAGGGUGAGUCGGCUCCUAAGGUCAGGCCGAAAGGCGUAGCCGAUGGGAAUCAGGUUAAUAUUCCUGAACCUGCGUCAGAUGCGAUGGGGGGACGGAGCAUGGAAGAUCAUCCGGGUGUUGGAAGUCCCGGUUGUUUAGCGUAGGAGGUCUGCAGGCAAAUCCGCAGACGCAUCUCCAAGGCAAAGACACGUGCCGCCACGGCGGCGAAGUGAUCGGAAGUGCUUCCAAGAAAAGCCUCUAAGCACCAGUCUGAUGCGGACCGUACCGCAAACCGACACUGGUGGGCGAGCUGAAUAUGCUCAGGCGCUUGAGAGAACUCGGGAGAAGGAACUCGGCAAAUUGACACCGUAACUUCGGAAGAAGGUGUGCCGUAGUACCGUGAGAGGAGAGACACCUUGAGCGGGAAACGGUCUCAGAGAAUAGGUGGCUGCGACUGUUUAUUAAAAACACAGCACUCUGCAAAGUCGAAAGACGACGUAUAGGGUGUGAUGCCUGCCCGGUGCUGGAAGAUUAAUUGAUGGGGUGAGAGCCCUUGAUCGAAGUCCCAGUAAACGGCGGCCGUAACUAUAACGGUCCUAAGGUAGCGAAAUUCCUUGUCGGGU
rnacentral:rRNA from 1 species